GGGGCGCUGCGACGCUCAACACGGCGGGCGCUCAAUAAAUGCUUGUCGAAUCGAGAUGCGCUAGAUUCAACGGGUAUUUACUGAGCGCCCGCUCUGUGCCAUACGCUGUGCUGGGCG
rnacentral:precursor_RNA from 15 species